AAGGAUUCCCCUAGUAACGGCGAGUGAAGCGGGAUGAGCUCAAAUUUGAAAUCUGGCGGCCUUCGGUCGUCCGAGUUGUAAUCUAAAGAAGCGUUUUCCGCGCUGGACUGUGUACAAGUUUCCUGGAUACGGAACAUCAUAGAGGGUGAGAAUCCCGUCCUUGACACAGGCUGCCAGUGCUCUGUGAUGCGCUCUCGACGAGUCGAGUUGUUUGGGAAUGCAGCUCAAAACGGGAGGUGAAUUCCUUCUAAAGCUAAAUAUUGGCGAGAGACCGAUAGCGAACAAGUACCGUGAGGGAAAGAUGAAAAGCACUUUGGAAAGAGAGUUAAACAGUACGUGAAAUUGUUAAAAGGGAAACGCUUGAAGUCAGUCGCGUCCGUGGGGACUCAGCCUUGCCUCGGCAUGGUGUACUUCCCUGCGGACGGGCCAGCGUCCAUGUUGUGCGUCGGAGAAGGGUCGGUGGCAUGUGGCUCCCUCGGGAGUGUUAUAGCCAUCGGUCGGAUGCGGCGCUUGAUAUGGAGUGGAACGGCACGUCUCGGUGCCUGUGCUGGCAUAAUGGCUUUAAACGACCCGUCUU
rnacentral:rRNA from 1 species